UUUCUUGGUUAAAAACAUUGUGCGUACUUGUAGUUUCUGUUUUAGUUGGUCCAAGAUUUUUAACUGAUGCCCUGAAUGCCACCAGUCCUGCUGCAGAUUAUGCCACAUCUUUCAGUGACACCCACAUUACUUCAAAUACAACUGGCUCAGCUUCAGGUGCUGCAGCUCCAGAACCUGAAUCUUCAAAGAAUGAGAGUGCCGAAACUUUGAAAGGUAAAACUUGAGCAUAGCAUGAGAUUAGACUGG